UGGGGUAACGGCCUACCAAGUCGACGAUCCAUAGCCGGACUGAGAGGUUGAACGGCCACAUUGGGACUGAGACACGGCCCAAACUCCUACGGGAGGCAGCAGUGGGGAAUAUUGCACAAUGGGGGAAACCCUGAUGCAGCAACGCCGCGUGAGUGAAGAAGUAUUUCGGUAUGUAAAGCUCUAUCAGCAGGGAAGAAAAUGACGGUACCUGACUAAGAAGCCCCGGCUAACUAC
rnacentral:rRNA from 1 species